UCUUCUUCUUCUUCUUCUUCUUCUUCUUCUUCUUCUUCUUCUUCCCGUCGACUCCACCGCCGCACCGCCGCCUGCCGUCUGCCGCUUCUUCUUCUGUGAAUUGGAUUUUUUGUGAAAUUUUUGGAUUUUUUGUAAAAUUUAUUGUAGAAUAUUGUUGUUGCUGAAAUUUGAUUUUGGAGUAUUGUUGUUGCUGAGUUGAGUUUGAGUAUUAUUGUUGUUGAUGCUGGAAUUUGUGAAAUUCUGGGUUCUUGGAAUAUUAUUGUUGUUGCUGAAAUUUGUGAAAUUCUAGGUUCUUUGCAUGAUGAUGAUGAUGAUGAUGAUGGUGGUGGUGCUAAGUGCUGGUGAAAUUCUGGUGAAAUUUGUGAAAUUCUGGGUUCUUUGCUGAAAUUUGUGAAAUUCUGGGUUCUUUGCAUGAUGAUAGUGGUGCUGGUGCUUUGCAUGAUGAUGAUAAUGAUGAUGAUGGUGGUGGUGGUGGUAGGUGGUGGGUGGUGGUGGUUGUAGUGAUGCUGGUGCUUUGCAUGAUUUUGGGGAAGAAGGAAUAGGUGCAUUUUGGUCCGAAGGACAGUUUUAAAACAAACAGAAACUUUGGGGACCAUUUUGGAGCGAAAAAAAGGCGAGGGACGAAAUAAAUUUUCAGUCUCUACGUUGGGGACCAAAAUCAUACUUAACCCCAAUUUAAAUUGAUUUAGAAAUUACCAACCUUAAUUUAACUCAAAAAUCCCUAAUUUCAAAUUUACCUCAAAUCAAAUUCUAACCCUAAAAAUCAAACCCACAAACCCUAACCCCUGAAGCCCCAAGCCGCAGCCCCCUUUCCCAACAGAACACACGCACACACACAGCAAGAAAAGGAGAUGGAGAGAACGGGAAAAGAGAAGAGAGAAAGGAGGAAGGAGACGCGCCGGUGCUGGUGGCCCUUGUAGUCGCCGCCGCCGGGCCCUGCCAGUCGUCGUCGACUCAACAAGAGGGAAAAGAGAGUGCAAACAGAGGAGAAGAAGAAGGGAGGCCACCGUUGCUGCUGUCUGUGCCAUCGCAAACGCUGCCGUUUGUGGAGUCGUCGCCCUCACCGCAUCGUCGCCGAUAGAACCACGAAGGGAGAGAGUGCGCGAACAGAGAGGGAGACUGACGGAGGAGGAGUGCGACGCGAGGAAGGAGGCGAUGCUGUUUGUGUCACCGUCGUCGAAUCCCAACACCGCCGUCGUUGCGUGCUCCGUCGUCACUGUUGGAGGUGGGCGGCCGAGCCUCUGCCGCCAGGGAAUGCCGCCGCCUUUUGGGUCAUUGGAAACGUGGCUGUAAUCACCGGAAAUACCAUCGGAGUUACCGCUAUUUCAGUUCAGCCGUUCUUCCUUGUCUGGGAUCGAGUUACGGGUCUUGCAUGCUGAAUUCUAUGAUUGUUGCAUGCGACAUCAAGAUGCUGUGUUAUCACCGGAGCUGCCACUGCUCUAUUCUCUGGCUUAUUCAUAGGAUUAUGUUUCGGUUCUUGCGUGCCGUGAUUAGAGUUGCUGAGGUUGCGGCUGCUGCCAUUGCAGGCCGAGAGAAAAGGGAGUUUUAUCGCGUAGUUGAAUCGCGAACAAGGAUAUGGACACAGAAGUUAUGAAGAGUUUACCUAGUUGUUAUUGUCGCCAUAUUUUGUAUUGCUUUAGUUAUUAUUUAUUAUUUUCCUCGCCUUUAUCUUUCACAAUUUGUAAGAGAGAUAAGAUUUGUUUUAUGUAAAGCUUGUAAGUUAAUACUAUGUAUAUGUAUGUAUAUGGUUGUAAGUAUGGAUUUAUAUUUUAUUU